CCUACGGGAGGCAGCAGUGAGGAAUAUUGGUCAAUGGACGAGAGUCUGAACCAGCCAAGCAGCGUGAAGGAUGACUGUCCUAUGGGUUGUAAACUUCUUUUAUAAAGGAAUAAAACGAGGCACGCGUGCCUUUUUGCAUGUACUUUAUGAAUAAGGAUCGGCUAACUCCGUGCCAGCAGCCGCGGUAAUACGGAGGAUCCGAGCGUUAUCCGGAUUUAUUGGGUUUAAAGGGAGCGUAGAUGGGUUGUUAAGUCAGAUGUGAAAGUUUGCGGGUCAACCGUGAAAUUGCAUUUGAUACUGGCAGUCUUGAGUGAAGUUGAGGUAGGCGGAAUGCGUGGUGUAGCGGUGAAAUGCUUAGAUAUCACGAAGAACCCCGAUUGCGAAGGCAGCUUAC
rnacentral:rRNA from 1 species